ACACUCCUGCGGGAGGCAGCAGUGGGGAAUUUUGGACAAUGGGCGAAAGCCUGAUCCAGCAAUGCCGCGUGAGUGAAGAAGGCCUUCGGGUUGUAAAGCUCUUUUGUCAGGGAAGAAACGGUGAGAGCUAAUAUCUUUUGCUAAUGACGGUACCUGAAGAAUAAGCACCGGCUAACUACGUGCCAGCAGCCGCGGUAAUACGUAGGGUGCAAGCGUUAAUCGGAAUUACUGGGCGUAAAGCGUGCGCAGGCGGUUUUGUAAGUCUGAUGUGAAAUCCCCGGGCCCAACCUGGGAAUUGCAUUGGAGACUGCAAGGCUAGAAUCUGGCAGAGGGGGGUAGAAUUCCACGUGUAGCAGUGAAAUGCGUAGAUAUGUGGAGGAACACCGAUGGCGAAGGCAGCCCCCUGGGUCAAGAUUGACGCUCAUGCACGAAAGCGUGGGGAGCAAACAGGAUUAGAAACCCUUGUAGUCCCAUGAU
rnacentral:rRNA from 1 species